GACAGAGGAUGCAAGCGUUAUCCGGAAUGAUUGGGCGUAAAGAGCUCGUAGGCGGUUUGUCGCGUCUGCUGUGAAAACCUAAGGCUCAACCUUGGGCUUGCAGUGGGUACGGGCAGACUAGAGUGCGGUAGGGGUGACUGGAAUUCCUGGUGUAGCGGUGGAAUGCGCAGAUAUCAGGAGGAACACCGAUGGCGAAGGCAGGUCACUGGGCCGCAACUGACGCUGAGGAGCGAAAGCAUGGGGAGCGAACAGG
rnacentral:rRNA from 1 species